rnacentral:rRNA from 1 species
UACGGGGGGGGCAAGCGUUGUUCGGAAUUACUGGGCGUAAAGGGUUCGUAGGUGGCUUGCUCAGUCAGACGUGAAAUCCCUCAGCUUAACUGGGGAACUGCGUCUGAUACUGGCGAGCUUGAGUGCAGGAGAGGAACGCGGAAUUCCAGGUGUAGCGGUGAAAUGCGUAGAUAUCUGGAGGAACACCGGUGGCGAAAGCGGCGCGCUGGACCUCUUCUGACGCUGAGGCGCGAAAGCCAGGGGAGCGAACGGG